GUAUUGAGUCCUUCUUCCUCGAGUAGAUACCAACUGCCAACAGCUGCCAACAACUCAUGUUUAGGUUUGAGUCCUUCUUCCUCGA
rnacentral:tRNA from 1 species